GUGCGCAGGCGCUUGCGGCUUCGCGGGGCUGACCGUGCGCUUCGCCUGCGGGGUCGUGCUGGGGCGGCGGGUACGCUAUUUGAAGAACAGGUUUCCAUGCUCUUAGAGGAGCAUCAGAAAAUGAACAAACCCCAGAAGUCCAGAAAUUAAGAGACCUGAUAAAGGGAAGCCAGGAAAAUCGAGAUGCAUAUUUGUGGUACACUUCAGUUCUCAGUAACAACACACUGACUAAGAAGAGGGAAUACGUUUUUGGGAAAAACCUUAAUCUGGGUGCAAACCCAGUUUCUUCAAGAAAAAUAGCCUGUUAGUAUGACUCAUGUGGAAUGAGUUUGAAUACGUUUCAGAAUCAAGUAUUAGUGAUAAAAAUUAUGCCAGUAAUAACACUGAUGAAAUUAAUAUAAGUGAGAAGUUGCCUUUUGAUAGUAAUCAGGAAAACACUCAUACUGGGAAGAAAUCUGUUGUAUAUAACCAAAGUGGGAAGUCACCAAGUCAUAGUGAGGACCUUAUUAAGGAACAGGAAAUUCAAGCUUUAGCCCACCUUUGGAAGCUAAUGAACAUGGAAAUCCCUUCCUUGAGAAGGUAGCCACCAUCACACAAGAGACAGCUCAAACAAGAGAGAAACCCUGUGAUUAUAAGGAGCAUGGGGAAAAUGUCAGUGCCACAUCAGCUCCCAGAGUUCAUCAAGAAAUUCACACAAGGAAGAAUCACUCUGAAGUUAACGAGUGUGAGAAGUCAACCUUCUUCAAACAUCAGAAAGUUAAUACAGGGGUGAAAACCCAGGGAGCUAAUGAAAAUGAGAAUUUCAGUCACAAGUCACAUCUCAGUCUGCCUCAUAGAACUCACACAGUAGAGAAAACUUUUGAAUGUAGUCAUGGCAAGAAAUCUUUUUGCCAGGAGUCCCACUUCACUGAGCAUCACAGGACAUGCACAAGAGAGAAACCAUGUGAAAGUAAUAAAUAUGGGAAAACCUUCCAGAAAUGACAACUUACCAACUCUCAGAUAAUGCAUCGAGAAGAGAAACCCCAUGAAUCUGGUAAAACCCUUGUGAAGUCAGCCCUCACUGAUCACCAGAUAAGUCAAUCAGAAAAGAAGCUUUAUGUAUGUAGUGACUGUAAGAAACGUUUUUGUCAUAGCUCAGUCCUAAGAGUCCAUCAGAGUAUUCACACAGGGAGAAACCCUAUCAGUGUAAUGGGAAAUCCUAAGCAAAAUCAAACUUCAGUCAUCAUCAGAGAACUCACACAGGGGAGAAACCAUAUGAAUGUAAGGAAUGUAGGAAAUCCUUCCAUGUGAAACCAAACCUCACUAAACAUCAGAAAACACAUAUAGGGGAGAAACCUUUCAAAUGUACUGCGUGUGGAAGAACUUUCUUCCAGCAGUCACAAUUUGCUGAUUAUUAGAGAAAACACACAUGAGAGAAAUCCUGCAAAUGUAAUGAAUUUGUUGGCCGGGCGCGGUGGCUCAUGCCUGUAAUCCCAGCACUUUGGGAGGCCAAGGCGGGCAGAUCACGAGGUCAGGAGAUUGAGACCAUCCUGGCUAACACAGUGAAACCCUGUCUGUACUAAAAAUACAAAAAAUUAGCCGAGUGUGGUAGCGGGUGCCUGUAGUACCAGCUACUUGGGAGGCUGAGGCAGGAGAAUGGCGUGAACCCAGGAGGCAGAGCUUGCAGUGAGCCGAGAUCAUGCCUCUGCACUCCAGCCUGGGUGACAGAGCAAGACUCCGUCUCAAAAAAAAAAAAAAAAAAAAAAAUUAAUGAAUGUGGAAAAUCAGUCCUUCUACUAUAAGUCAACCCUAAAUGUCCAUCAGGGAAAGCACACAGAAGAGAAACCCUAUAAAUAUACUGAGUGUGAGAAAUCCUUCUAUAAAUCAGUGCUAAUUAUACAUGAGGAAACACAGAUAAGAAACCCUAUGCGUGUAAUGAAUGUGUGAAAUCCUUUUGUGUGAAGUCAAGUCUCAGUAAACAACAAAAUUCACACCAGGGAAAAGCCAUAUGAAUGUAGUGAAUGUGGAAAAUAUGAAUUCAAUCCUCAUUGUGUAUCAGAGAACUCACACUGGGGAGAAACCCUGUGGAUGCAAUGAAUGUGAGAAGUCCUUCUACAACAAGGAUGCCCUCACUAAACAUAACAGAACUCACACGGGAGAGGCCACAUAAAUGUAAUGAACGUAGGAAGUCCUUACAACCCUAGUUAUACACCAGAGAACUCACACUGGAGAGAAACCUUACAAAUGUAAUGAGUGUGAAAAAUCCUAUCUGAAGUCACAUCUUUUUUUUUUUUUUUUUAAUUUUUUGAGAUGGAGUCUCGCUCUGUCACCCAGGCUGGAGUGCAGUGGCGUGAUCUUGGCUCGCUGCAGCCUCCACCUCCUGGGUUUAAGCGAUUGUCAUGCCUCAGCCUCCCAACUAGCUGGGAUUACAGGUGCCUGCCACCAUGCCCAGCUAAUUUUUGUAUUUUUAGUAGAGACAGGCUGGUCUUAAACCCCUGACCUCAAGUGAUCAGCCUGCCUUGGCCUCCCAAAGUCCUGGGAUUACAGGCAUGAGCUACUGCACUUGGCCUGAAGUCACAUCUUAAUAUUCAUCUGAGAAAUCACACAGGAAAGAGACCCCAUGUAUGUAAUGAAUGUGGGAAGGCCUUUUCUAUGAAGUCAAACUUCACUGAUCAUCAGAGAACACACUGAGAAGAGAAAUCCUAUGAAUGUACUGAAUGUCAGAAAACUUUUCACCAUAAAUCAACCCUAACAGUACAUCAGAGAACUCAUAUGGGGAGAAGCCUUAUAAAUGUAAUGAAUGUAGAAAAUCUUUCUAUAUGAAGUCAGCCCUCAGUCAGCAUCAGAGGAUACAUAUAUGGGAGGAACAUUGUGAAUGUAAAGAAUGUGGGAAAACCUACCAGAGGUCACACCUUGCUAAACAUCAUCGAAAAUACACCACACAAGAAACCCUAUGAAUGUAAGCAAUGUGGAAAAACCUUCCAGAAGUCACACCUCAUUGAACAUCAGAGGACACACCCAGGGGAGAUACCCCAUGAAUGUAAUAAAUGUGGGAAAUCCUUCUGUUAUAAGUCACCCUUGACCAUUCACCAGAGAACUCACAUAGAAGAGAAGCCCUAUAAAUGUAGCAAAUCUGUUACUUAUUUCUGUAUGAAAUCACACCUCACUGUGCAUCAGAGACCCCAUACCAGGAAGAACCCUUUUGAGUGUAAUGAAUGCAGGAAAAUGUUUUAUGUGAAGUCAAACCUCAUCAAUCAUCAGAGAACUCACACAGGGGAGAAACCAUAUGAAGGCAAUACAUGUGGGAAAUCUGUAUGAAGUCAUCCUCCACACAAGAGUGAUACUCUGAAUUGUAACAAAUAUGGGAAAUCCUCAUGUGUAAAGUCAAUUUGUUUUUCAAACCAAAAUUCAUGGUAGAAACCUUAUGAAUGUAAAUAAUGUAGGGGUCUCCUUCUGUGUAAAUUAAAUCCUUAGUUGGCAUCAGAAAACACAAGAUAUAGGGACUGGAGGCCUCUCCACAAAUGAAAUGGAUAUGGGAAGAUUUUGUGUUAUCUUAGAAAAUACUGGCCGGGCAUGGUGGCUCACACCUGUAAUCCCAGCACUUUGGGAGGCUGAGGCAGAUGGAUCACCUGAGGUCAGGAGUUCAAGACCAACCUGGCCAACAUGAGGAAACCCCAUCUCUACUAAAAAUACAAAAAUUAGCCAGGCGUGGUGGCAAAUGCCUGUAAUCCUAGCUACUUGGGAGGCUGAGGCAGGAGAAUUGCUUGAACCUCGGAGGCGGAGGUUGCAGUGAGCCAAGAUCAUGCCAUUGCACUCCAGCCUGGGUGACAAGAAUGAAAACUCCAUCUCAAAAAAAACAACAACAACAAAAAAAAAACCAGAAAACUCAAAUGAGGAGAGACCCCUGAGAACAUCUUGUAUAUUAGUAUCCACCAAGAAAUCAAAUACAGUAUGUUUCACAUAAAUCACAGGGAAAAACCGAUAGAACAGUAAUAUAAAAGCAUUUACAAAGUUCCAGCACAUUUGCACAACAUAUGAUUGAUACUGGUGUAAAACUAUGUUUUCUAUGCAUGAAAGCUUUCAGGAAAAAUUCAACUAUAAGCAGACAAUUAAUACUGAGGGGACGUCUAUCAGUUUAGGAGAUAGAGAUACUUUAUUUUUUUGAGAUGGAGUCUUGCUCUGUCGCCCAGGCUGGAGUGCAGUGGCGUGAUCUCGGCUCACUGCAAGCUCCGCCUCCCGGGUUCACGCCAUUCUCAUGCCUCAGCCUCCCAAGAAGCUGGGACUACAGGCACCUGCCACCACACCCGGCUAAUUUUUGUAUUUUUAGUAGAGAUGGGGUUUCACCAUGUUAGCCAGGAUGGUCUCGAUCUCCUGACCUUGUGAUCCAUCCGCCUUGGCCUCCCAAAGUGCUGGGAUUACAGGCGUGAGCCACUGCGCCCGGCCGAGAUACUUUUUUUUCCCUACAAAUACUGUAAUACUAGAAGUCACAUUUCAGGUACCAAAUUUAGCAAAUGUGAUGUGUGAUACAUCUAAUGCUAAUGACAUUCAUUGUUGGAAGAUGAAGUCUUUUGAAAAACAAGUUGCAGCAGCAAGCUGACAGUAUUAGAUAUUUGAGUACUUGAGGUAAGAUGGCCUUACAUUUGUUAGUGGGCAGCAUACAACAUACAUACAUGGCCUGUGUUUGAUUUACAUAGUGGAACUCCACCGAGUGGUCAGCAGGAAAUAUCUCUCCAUAGCUUAAGAACUGUUGUAACACAUCUACCACACAAAAUGCCUCCAGUGUAUCUUUGUAUCUUUUUGUUUGUUUGUUUUUGGGUCAGAGUCUCGCUCUGUUGCCCAGGCUGGAGUGCAUGGCACUAUCUCGCUUCACUGCCACGUCUGCCUCCCAGUUUCAAGUGAUUCUUCCUGCUUCAGCCUUAUGAGUAGCUGGAUUACAGGUGCCUGGCACCGUGCCCAGCUAUUUUUUGUAUUUUUAGUAGAGACAGGGUUUCUCCAUGUUGGCCAGGCUGGUCUCAAAACUUCUGACCUCAGUUGAUCUGCCCGCCUUGGCCUCCCAAAGUGCUGGGAUUACAGGCAUGAGCCACUGUGCCCGGCCUCUUUGUAUCUUAAUAGUACAGUAUACUUGAUAUGUGACAUGUAUGACAUUUGCAGUAUACAAUAUGUUAUUGAGAAAUGCAGAGUACAGAAAACUAUAUGGCUUGCUGCCUUUUGUUUGAGAAUUGAGGGGAAGAAAUAAUACGUAUGUACAUAGAUAUUUUGUAUAUAUAUUUAUCUAUUAUAUAUGUUUAUAUAUUUUUUUAAUUUUUAAAUUUUUUGUAGAGAUGGGGCUCGCUAUGUUGCCCAGGCUGGUCACGAACUCCUGGGCUCAAGCGGUCUUCCUGCCUCAGUCUUCCAAAGUGCUUAGAUUACAGGCAUGAGCUACUGUGCUUGGCCAAUAUAUUUUAUAUAAUAUAUAUAUUUUGCAAAUAAGUAUAAACUACAAACUACAAACCUGAAGAGUAAAUUACAAACUCAAAAGUGAAUGCCUAUGGAGAUAGGAGUGAACAGGGUGGCAGGGCUGAGGAUAGAGACAAGGCUUCUUCACGUGUAGCUUUUUGUGAAGUUUUGACUUUUGGAUAAAUAUGAGUAAUUUACGUACUCAAAAGCACAUUUUGAAAUUGAAACCAAAGAAGAAAUCAACUGAAGUUUAUAUCAAAUUGGUAACUUCACUAAGUAGAAGAGCUCAUUCUUUCAAGAGACUUUUAAAUGCAGUAUGAUGAGCAUAUCCUUAGUGGGAUUUGUUUCUGUUUUAGGACAAAAAGAACUUAAAAAAUGACAUUUAGAAGACACCUGGCUAGGUCUCUUCAAAAAGCUGACUUUUUUUUGAGACGGAGUCUCACUCUGUUGCCCAGGCUGGAGUGCAGUGGCGCGAUCUCGGCUCACUGCCAGCUCUGCCUCCUGGGUUCACACCAUUCUCCUGCCUCAGCCUCCCGAGUAGCUGGGGCUACAGGUGCCUACCACCACACCCGGCUAAUUUUUUGUAUUUUAGUAGAGAUGGGGUUUCACUGUGUUAGCCAGGAUGGUCUCCAUCUCCUGACCUCGUGAUCUGCCCGCCUCGGCCUCCCAAAGUGCUGGGAUUACAGGUGUGAGCCACCACACCCACCUGCUGCCAUCAUUUUUAAAAGGAGAGAAAAGGUGGAGGGACUAUUUUUCAAGGGCAAACAUGCUGAAUAUAGAAAGAUGAACUGGCUUGAUGUCUGCAGCCUUGAAGUGGCUCAGGAAAAAGAUGCAUGCAUCGAUAAAGCAAAAAUGGCAAAAUUUAAGCAAGUGUUGAUCUGGCAGGCACAUGGGUAUUGACUGUUUUUCUUACAAGAGUUGUGUUUGAAAAAUUUGAUAAUAAAAAGUUUUGGAGAAGUACUGUACCACUUAGCAAUUCUGUUACUGUUCUUUGGCGUAUAUAAAUAGCUCUGCCCGUGCUUAUUGAUCUGCUUGUCAAUAAAGAAGCCAAACAGUAACCUUUAAAGUGUUCAGUUGUUUUGGGUUUUAGUCACUUCAAUAAAAACAGAACAUAACCAAAGGCUGGUCAUGGUGGCUCAUGCCUGUAAUCCCAGCACUUUGGGAAAUUGAGGCAGGAGGAUUAUUUGAGCCCAAGAAUUCAAGACCAGCCUCGGCAACACAGCGAGACCACCUUGUCUCUGUAAAAAGUUGAAAAAUUAGCCAGACAUGGUGGUGUACACCUGUGGUCCCAGCUACUUGGGAGGCUGAGGCAGGAGGAUCUUUGAGCCAGGGAGUUUGGCUUUGCAGUGAGCUGUGGUUGUGCCACUGCACCCCAGUCUGGGCAACAGAGCAAGACCCCAUCACAAAAAAAAGAAAUAAUGCAAAGGCAGCGUAUUAUACCAUUAACAACUCAAGCUUGUGUUAAGAACUAGGUGCAAACAGUAGUGCUCAUUGCACUGACAAUGAAAAUAGUAUUGUAUAAAGAAAAUGUGCUUCUCUUUCUACUCCUGACACGUUUCUAAGCGGUGCCUCCAGAAGUACAUGGCAUAGGCCCCAAGCGGUAGGAGCCCAGGAACCAUUUGCCAACAGGGUGGCAGCUGUUGUGUCCUCAUUCUUUCUCCCUCCUCUACCUGGAUUUCCUUGCAGCAGGGGGCAGACUGUUCUAGGCUGCUUUGUUGCAUGAAAGCCUUGGUGUGGCCUGUUUUCCCCCCCUCAACAGGGACUGUUUGGGUUGGGCAUAUGACCAAGCCUUGACCUCUAGGAUGUGUAGGGAAGUGUUCUGUAUGAUUUUUGGGAAAGGGUUUAUCACUGAUGAAGAGACAUGAGCAGAAUCACAUUACCCUUCUGAAUACAUCCAUUGUUUGCGUCUUGUGGCCCAGGGCUGUAGUUGGAGGUUGGUGAGCAGAGAUAGAAGAGCCUGGCCACUGAUGGUAUGAAGCACUGAUUUAACCCACACUGAGGAGGCUCUGGAUUGGGCACUUGAGGUCAUUAGUUUUUCUUAUUGUGUAAGCCUGUUGGAGUUGAGAUUUUUCUGUGACUUGGAGCUGUAAGGCAUCCUAACUUUGAAGAGGGAUAGUUUUUGUUUGUAGAGAAAGGGUCUCUAUGUUGCCCAGGCUGGUCUUGAAUUCCUGGGCUUAAGUGAUCCUCCUGCCUUGGCCUCCUAAAGUGCUGUGAUGACAGGAUACAUUUUUUUAAAAGAAGUUGUGUAAUUCAGAAGUGUUAGUCACAGUGAUUUGGGGGCAAGAAUGAUUUUGAGAAAAUGAUUCAGCAGCUGCUUUCUGCUCUGUACAUUUAUAUGUAAUAAGGAAAUGCAGGUACCCUUGAACAGCACAGGUCUGGACUGAGCAGGUCCACUUGUAAGUAGUUUUUGUUUUUUUUCCCAAUAGUUGGCCCUCCUUAUCUGCAGGUUCCACAUCUGCAACCAUAUACAGCUCAAAACUAUAGUAUUCACAGAAUGCAAACCUGAGGAUACAGAGGGCCAACUUUGUAUACAGGUUCUGAAGAGUCAACUUCAAAACUUUUGUAUGCGGAGUUUGGUAUCCACAGGGGGUCUGGAAACAAUUCCCCCAUGGAUACUAAGGGGCGACUGUAAUGUCAUUUCUUAUUUGCAAGAAUCCAGAGCGGAAAAUGUUCUUUUCGAAAUUAGUUGCAUAUUAAGUAUUCUUUCUCUUCAUAUAAAAUGUCAUUUUUAAUUGAUCAAAUUAUUCAUUGCCUUUUUUUUUUGACAAGGUCUGGAUUCAUGUACGGAUGUAAUCUUUACUUUUGCAAUGAACUGCUAGUUGUCCUUACACUAUUUAAGAAAUCCAUCUCUUUGUCCCUGGUUUGAAAUACUAUUUUUAUUUUAUUUUAUUUAUUUAUUUAUUUGUUGAGAUGAAGUCUUGCUCUUGUCCCGCAGGCUGGAAUGCAAUGGCAUGAUCUCAGCUCACUGAAACCUCCACCUCCUGGGUUCAAGCAAUUCUCCUGCCUCAGCCUCCCGAGUAGCUGGGAUUGCAGGCACCUGCCACCACAUCCGGCUAAUUUAUAUAUAUAUAUUUUUAGUAGAGAUGGGGUUUCACCAUGUUGGCCAGGCUGGUCUCAAACUCACGGCCUCAGAUGAUCCACUCGCCUCGGCCUCCCAAAGUGCUGGGAUUACAGGCGUGAGCCACCAUGCCUGGCCGAAAUACUACUUUUAUCAUAGGGUAGGUCACUGUUAGUAGUGUCUUUG
rnacentral:lncRNA from 1 species